AUAUCCACGCGGCCUUAUCCACACUGCCUGCAUCUGUGUGGCUGCCAUCGUUCUCCCGCAUCAGCUGCCGCACUGCGUCUCGCCGUCGACUCCGCCAACCCUAGUGCCAUCACCGACUCACCCCUCCGCCCCGCCCUGCCCCGCCUCGCCCAGCGCCACUGCCCCCAUCGCCUCCAUCACCUAGCCGGCCUCCUACAACCCCGGCCUCGACCCAUCACCGCCAACUGCCUCUGAAUCCCAUACUCACACUGCCACCAAAUCCCCAUCGACAAUUCCCCACACCCGCAUCUCCGACGCACGCUGCCGUCCAUCCGCAUCCAUGUCGCACCCACAUCCAAGCCUAGAGCCACCACAGCAUCCAGUCCAAAUCGAGCAGCCGGUGGCCAUAUCCAGCAUGGUGCUUCCAGAUCCACGGUGCCCAAGCAAUGGAGCUCAUCCACAAGAAGAACUCAGCGUACUCUUCAAGUUCGUCCAGAUCCACGGUGCCCAGAGGGACCUGACGAAGGAGGACUAGGAGAAGGACCACCGGGAGGUCUUCAUGGCUCAGCUCCUUGCCCACAACCGGUGCUUCUCCUACCCUAGUAUACGGGACAAGGAUGACCCCUAGAUGGACCCGACCUGUUCGCCAAGUUCAAGAGGAGAAGGAGCCUAGCCCACUUCAUGUUGCGCUUCAUCAACAUCACGACCAAGCCAGCCCUCAAGCAAAACUGUAGAAAAGCUUGUCGAUAUCGACAUUUUUCUGCAUAAACAAAUCCGGGAUGCAUUCGAUGAAGCUGUUCCUGUAGGUACCGACUUCAUGGAGCAAGGUCACAACAAAAGGCUAGGUUCAUGUGGUCUGCCACUACAUUAUGCUAACAUCAUCAAUCAAACUGAAAAUAUAGUAAGUAAAUUUGACGACUCACAUGAUGUUUAUCAUGGUUGCUUAAUGCCCCAAUUUCCUUAAUGUAGUCUAUUUCCAUAUGGCCUCUUAUAUAUGUAGGUAACUGUUCAAUUUUGUUGAUGAACCAUGCAUUUAUUUAUUUCCCUUUUCUUUUGGUGAGCAGAAUAUUCGAUGGUAGUCAUAUGUGUCUAUCUCCCAGCUGCAAAAUACCAAGUCAAAAGUUAAUUUUGAAAUAAAAAAGUUACAAUGUCAUAGUUCAUAUACUAUUUGUGUCGCCUAAGUCUACAUUCUUCAUUCUAUACUCUAUAGCCUUCUUCUAUUUGUGACGCGUCCUUGAAUAAGAAGCAAGAAAAGGCAUAGGGCUGUCAUACACUGCAGAAUCUUUUGAUUUUAGUUUGAAUACCUUGUAAUUUGUUUCUAUCAUUGCAUGAUAUCGUUUGACAAUAUUUUGAAUACCUCAAAGAUUGCUUUGGUUAGUAAUUAUAUUUUCAAGGCCUUGUUUAGAUUUGUAAAAAAAUAUUGAUUUGUGUUGGUCUGCGAUAUUUAGGCAAGGUUUGAAAUUUAGUACAAGCAAAGCAUGAUGUAGCGACAGAACAUGAUAGGUAGUUCUAAU